CCACCACCCAAGUUUACUUUUCCAGCGGCGGCGCCAUCCGAAGCUCCCAAGACCUCCAACAAGCAUUCUUCCUCAUCAACCCCGGUGUCUUCAAACACUUCCUUCGCAGCAAGAUGGCCGUCGGCUUCGUCGUUCCUGAGGUCAAAUCUCCACCCCGUCUCCUGUAUUUUUCUUCAUAUCCCUGUUCACUCGCAAUUCAUUUUACUGAAUACCUUUCUUUUUUUUCUCUUUGUAUUUCUUUUUAUCCCAAAAAUCACUAGGAAUUGUCCAAUAAAAUUGUCAU
rnacentral:lncRNA from 1 species